UACGAAGGGUGCAAGCGUUACUCGGAAUUACUGGGCGUAAAGCGUGCGUAGGUGGUUGUUUAAGUCUGUUGUGAAAGCCCUCGGCUCAACCGAGGAAUUGCGCUCUAAACUGCAGUGCUUGAGGAACCUAGAGGUGAGCAGAACAGAUGGUGGAGCGGUGAAAUGCGUUGAUAUCAUCUGGAAUACCGGAGGCGAAGGCGGCUCACUGGGAGUUUUCUGACGCUGAGGAACGAAAGCCAGGGUAGCGAACGGG
rnacentral:rRNA from 1 species